rnacentral:lncRNA from 1 species
CUAGAUUUUCUCCAUCAAUAUGCGUUUUGAAUCUUUUUAGGUUGAUCUAUGUCUAUGACGAAAAAACUCGGACGUUCCAUCGAUCAGUACGAAAUUUAGUUGACUCGAGAAUCCCGGAUAACGGAUAAGGUUAGUAUAACUUAUUAUGAAGGACGGAUAACGAACAUUUGCACUAGUCAUCUCAAAUUUGAAAAUGUGUUCUAAAAUUCUCCUGAGCAAAUCUUUCUGCAUCAUUAUGCGUUUUGAACAUUUCUAAGUCGGUCGAUGAUGAAAAAACUUUUUCGAUCAGCCCGAAAUUUUCUAAGUGCACCUUAAUUACGAGUAAAGGUACAGACAUGGACGAAAAUAUUGCUAACCAAAAUCAUGCUACCCGUACCCGUACACCGAAACCGGGGUAUCUUAACCUCUCUAAUAUUUAUAAUGAUCGGACGGGUAAGGAUUCAUUUGCAUAUACGUAUACUGUCUGAAAGUUUAUAUGUCAAAAUGUGCUUUAAAAUUCUCCUGAGCCAAAACUAUCUACAUCAUUAUGCGUUUUGAACAUUUCUAAUUCGGUCCAAGACGAAAAAUUUUUCUCUAUCGGCUCGAAAUUUUCUAAGUCUCAAACUUUAGUUGACUCAAGACUGAUCCGAGUAACGUGUAAGCGUAAUAGUAUUUAUAAUUAUCGGACGGGUAAGGAUUCAUUUGCAUAUACGUAUACUGUAUGAAAGUUGAUAUGUCAAAAUGUGCUUUAAAAGUUUCCUGAGCCAAAACUUUCUUCAUCCUUAUGCCUUUCGAACAUUUCUAAGUCGGUCCAUGACGAAAUAAUUUUUUCGAUCAGCCCGAUAUUUUCUAAUUCUCAAACUUUAGUUGACUCAAGAUUGAUCCCACGGGUAACGGGAAAGCGUCAUAGUAUUUAUAAUGAUCGGACGGAUAAGGAUUCAUUUGCAUAUACGUAUACUGUUGGAAAGUUUAUAUGUCAAAAUGUUUAUAUGUUAUACAGUGUCUAUAUUAUAAAUCUAGUUUUUUUAUAAGAAUUCUUUUGCAUGAGUAUUGUGUUAUUUCGUUACCCGCAUACCCAAUGCGCACGCGCUGGGUUAUUGCGUCCCACAAGCCUUCCAUCAGCGGAGUCGCAACUGUAUAUACACGGAACCCGUACCAUGUAAUAAUGUGUGGAAGGCGAUAUAUUCCAGAAUCUUGCGAAAAGGGUGUCGGCACAUAACGGUUUGGGGGCCGCCAGCACUCUCCCCCGUAGUUCGUUAAGAUUCAGUAUGGUAUAUAUCACUAUGUCUGCAGUGUGGAUUAUAACGGUCGGCAAUCGGCUAUUUGCCGAACAAAAACACCAAAUGGCCGAUCAAUUUCAUUCUGCACAGACAUUUUGUCCGAUCAAAUAAAAUACACGACACUGUUCAUUUAAAUUGAAGGUAGUUUUUGUGAAAAGUACUGUUUGAAAAGCAUCUAACUAUGCCUACGAUACCAUGCAAUCAAUAAAUAUUUGGAUGAAAAAAUCACUCAGAGGAAACAUUGUCAUUGAGCUUCUCUUUUAGCAAAUACUCUCUCAAGUGACCGAAUCUCGAUAGUUACAGUCCAUAGCCGGCGGCAGUUACAAUACUUACUACUUACAAAAAUAUGUUUCAUUUCUAUAAGCCGUAGGCCUAGCUAUAUAUUAGUAAAUACAUUUAUUUCCUAAAGAAACACAAACAAAGUGAAGGCGCGGAGGACGUUGCUAGUUGGCGUACGCCAAGCUUUUUUCUGCAUGCAAAUGUGCAAUCAAUAAUGGUACGUCGAUCUGUAGCACUGUCACGUAAAAAUUGUUGAAAUAUUUGGCUGAUCAUUGUUGGCCAAUGUCCGAGCAACAGUCUCGUUAAUCGGACAUUUGUCAGACCUAAGCAAAAACGUUAUAAUCCACGCUGCAUGUCUGGCGGCUAACACGAGACAACUCCCGUUCUCGUCGUGAAUGUUAGCUGGAAAUUUUUAUUUAUUUCUAUUAAUUUUUAUUUACACACAUAUAAGAUAUAUGUUUUCAACAGCAAAAAUUUUCCUUUCAAAAAUUGUCUACCUUUCACCAUGUAAAACAUGUCCAGCACGUUUUUUAUAUACAUAUAUUUCUGUAUAUUUAGAAAAUUUCGAGCAGAGAGGGAAAAAUUUUCUCACAAACAGACGAUUAUACGAGCGUGCUCAUGAGCAUACUGGAUGAUAAGGAUGCUAGAUUUCGGCAUACCCUGCAGUAGCCUCGGCGAUUUGUUGCGAUGAAUUAAGGAUAUUGGAUUUCGGCAUACCUUGUAGCUAGCCCCUGUUUGUGAUGGCUAUAUGAAGAAGCAGUUUGUGGCCCUUUAAUUAGCUGCAGUACUAGUAUAGUUGAGAAAUCCGGGUAACGCGGAGCGAAGAACAAUCUAAAAAAACGUAUAAGCCUACUGAUUAAGAGGGACCAACAAGUCUGUAAGUCAAAAUGUGCUUUAAAAUUCCCCUGAACCAAAAUUUUCGCCAUCAAUAUGCGUUUUGAAUCUUUAGGUUGAUCUAUGUCUAUGACGGAAAAACUCGGAUGUUCCAUCAGUCCGAAAUUUAGCUGACUCGAGAAUCCUGGAUAAGGUUAGUAUAACUUAUUAUGAAAGACGGAUAACGAACAUUUGCACUAGUCAUCUCAAAUUUGAAAAUGUGUUCUAAAAUUCUCCUGAGCCAUAACUAUCUGCAUCAAUAUGCGUUUUGAAUCUUUCUAGGUCGAUCUAUGUCCAGUACGACAAAAAAAUUUUUCCAUCUGUCCGAAAUUUACUUGACUCGAGAAUCCCGGAUAACGGAUAAGGUUACUAUAAAAAAAAGCAGUUUUUUUCCAGCUGUGCAAUCGAAAAAGACGAUAAAGUUCGAAUUUUAUAAGUGAGGGUUAUGGUUAGGGCUGUCUCGAAUGUGAUGUUCUAUUGAAUUUCAAGGUCCCUGUUGCGAAGACAUGAAUUUGUCACGGUCUGAAAAUUGUAUUUUUACAAUCUACCGUCCAUGAGCUUUCUAUCGAUGACUUACUCGUGUAUCAAAAGUCAGUUUAUGAAGAAACAAAGCAGGUUAUUCCAGGUGCAUAAUCGAAAAAGACGUGAAAGUUAAUAUUAUGCGGUUUCCAACCUGAUGUUCUAUCGACUUUCAAGGCUCUUGUAGCAGAAGCGUAAGGAGUUACGUACUGCGCAUGCGCAGACUUAUCUCCUUUAAAUAAGCAUAAUUUGGUAAGACGAUAUUACGCAAAGUUGUAGCCCUCAUCAAGACGAACAACUUUUGUUAAUAUCUUCUUACCAAAAUAUGCAAGCGUAAGGAGUUACGUACUGCGCAUGCGCAGACCUAUCUCCUUUAUAUAAGCAUAAUUUGGUAAGACGAUAUUAAGCAAAGUUGUAGCCCUCAUCAAGACGAACAACUUUUGUUAAUAUCUUCUUACCAAAAUAUGCAAGCGUAAGGAGUUACGUACUGCGCAUGCGCAGACCUAUCUCCUUUAAAUAAGCAUAAUUUGGUAAGACGAUAUUAAGCAAAGUUGUAGCCCUCGUCAAGACGAACAACUUUUGUUAAUAUCUUCUUACCAAAAUAAGCAAGCGUAAGGAGUUACGUACUGCGCAUGCGCAGACCUAUCUCCUUUAAAUAAGCAUAAUUUGGUAAGACGAUAUUAAGCAAAGUUGUAGCCCUCAUCAAGACGAACAACUUUUGUUAAUAUCUUCUU